rnacentral:rRNA from 1 species
GUAGGUUACGUCAAGACUCACGGCUAUUAACCGUAGGCUUUUCUUCUCUACUGAAAGUGCUUUACAACCCGCAGGCCUUCUUCACACACGCGGCAUUGCUGGAUCAGGCUUGCGCCCAUUGUCCAAUAUUCCC